ACAAAUUGCCGAGGCGAAGGUUGAGCCUCGGUAAUUAUGGGGAAGGAAAGACAUAGUUCGAAAGAGAGGUAACACAUAUACAUUCGCCUCGACACUCGACAUGUAGUAUAGCAGAUGGAGUAACACUCAGCCCGUUUCUUGUUUGAUAUUAUAUCAAGAGUAGCGAGUUGUGAGUUGUGUUCCUACUGCUCAUUAUUAUUAUACUAUCAUCUUUCUUUCUCAAAUGGACAUUAUCGGUCUAUCUCUGUCCACAUAAUGAUCACGUGCGAGUAGAGUAGGACUCUCUGAUAUGACUCGGCACAGCAGCUAAAACCGAUUCUUAUAUUAUUCCACCUAUGUCUAUUAUGUGUGGAUGUGGUUGCGUUUAUUUCUCGCCUCCUGAUACUGUACUAAUACCAAGUUAGAGUCUUGCGGUAAAAUUUAACACACGACACGCUUGGUGCUCCUCCGGAUUAGAUCCUGGAUCUGUAUUCCGUAUUCCAUAUUUUAUUACUUAUAACUUUAACUUGUAACUAUUCUAUAACUGUGUACAGUAUGUAUUUAUAAUAAUGUGUAUACAUCAUCUUUCUCCGGAUGUGAUUGAGCAUGAGCGUUGACUCAAUUGGAUCAAGAGAAAUUUUAGUUACAUACAUUAUAUAUUUAUAUAUUAAUAUACAUUUUAGUAUAACAUACGGCUGAACUUAAACGUCAGCAGAAUAACUCGCGCGUUCGCUGACCCCUUUGAUCCUUGUGCUACAAUUUUUUAUCUCUCGUAACAUAAACGGAUAGAAGACAAUUGAGCGUCCCGUCAAUAAGAUGUACGACUUUGUCUGGGCAAUAUGACUCGGUACUUUACAGGAUAACUAGUAACUAAACAUCAGCAGCCAGCAGUGCGUCAUGCAGUCUGUCACAAGCUGCAACUUCCAACGUCCAACUUAUACUUUUACGAGGCCUUCUGUACUUACUUUUCUUUGUUUCGGGAAUAGUCGAGAUAUGAUUGACCGGAAUCACGACACGACAUUGAACUAACCAAUAAAUAAAAAAGAAAUCCAAAGCUUUGGAGGGAAGUAUUAUUAGCAAUAGAUCAUCACAUUCCAAAUUCUAAAUUCCGGGUCUGUCCUCGAAGGGCCAAAGGCAAUACAACUUUAAAUAAUCUGGCCUACUCGUACAUCGAUACCCAGCCAAUUACGCUCGUCUCGGAGCCAUCUGCUUCUCCGGUCCUUAUCCGCGCUAUAAACAUCCUAUCAUGGAGAACCAGAAGGUUCAUCCUGCCCCGGAGCUUAUUGGAUCUUCUUCGGCCUCAUGACCGACUGCCCAAUGCUUCAAAAUUAAAAACGGCCAUGACUUACUCUAAUAUUU